rnacentral:rRNA from 1 species
UACGAAGGGGGCUAGCGUUGUUCGGAUUUACUGGGCGUAAAGCGCACGUAGGCGGAUCGUUAAGUCGGGGGUGAAAUCCUGGAGCUCAACUCCAGAACUGCCUUUGAUACUGGCGAUCUCGAGUCCGGGAGAGGUGAGUGGAACUGCGAGUGUAGAGGUGAAAUUCGUAGAUAUUCGCAAGAACACCAGUGGCGAAGGCGGCUCACUGGCCCGGUACUGACGCUGAGGCACGAAAGCGUGGGGAGCAAACAGG